rnacentral:rRNA from 1 species
AAAGGAAUAGACGGGGCCCCGCACAAGCAGUGGAGCAUGUGGUUUAAUUCGACGCUACGCGAAGAACCUUACCAGGAUUUGACAUGGAAUUAAAGACCCUAGAGAUAGGGGGAUAGUCAUAAUUCACACAGGUGGUGCAUGGUUGUCGUCAGCUCGUGUCGUGAGAUGUUAGGUUAAGUCCUGCAACGAGCGCAACCCUCGUCAUCUUGUUGCCAGCAUUCAGUUGGGGACUCAAGAGAGACUGCCGAUGUAAGUCGGAGGAAGGUGGGGAUGACGUCAAAUCAUCAUGCCCUUUAUGUCCUGGGCGACACACGUGCUACAAUGGCCAGUACAAAGAGUUGCGAUACCGCGAGGUGGAGCCAAUCUCAUAAAGCUGGUCUCAGUUCGGAUUGAAGUCUGCAACUCGACUUCAUGAAGUCGGAAUUGCUAGUAAUCGUAAAUCAGCCAUGUUACGGUGAAUACGUUCCCGGGGCUUGUACACACCGCCCGU